UUUCGACGGAACUGUUCUGCUUUC
rnacentral:siRNA from 1 species